GAGGUAGUGACACGUGGGUGAUCUGCCCUGCACUUCGGGAUAAGCUUGGGAAACUGGGUCUAAUACCGGAUAGGAGCCAUCUUUAGUGUGGUGGUUGGAAAGUUUUUUCGGUGUAGGAUGAGCUCGCGGCCUAUCAGCUUGUUGGUGGGGUAAUGGCCUACCAAGGCGGCGACGGGUAGCCGGCCUGAGAGGGUGUACGGCCACAUUGGGACUGAGAUACGGCCCAG
rnacentral:rRNA from 1 species